rnacentral:rRNA from 1 species
UACGUAGGGUCCGAGCGUUGUCCGGAAUUAUUGGGCGUAAAGGGCUCGUAGGCGGUCUGUCGCGUCGGGAGUGAAAACUCAGGGCUCAACCCUGAGCGUGCUUCCGAUACGGGCAGACUAGAGGUAUGGCAGGGGAGAACGGAAUUCCUGGUGUAGCGGUGGAAUGCGCAGAUAUCAGGAGGAACACCGGUGGCGAAGGCGGGUCUCUGGGCCGAAACUGACGCUGAGGAGCGAAAGCGUGGGGAGCAAACAGG